UUCAACUUCCAUACCACGUUGAAUACACGCCGAUUCUCGUCCGAUCACCGAAGUUACAAACGCCGGGCGCGGUCAAUACGUGGAUGGGUGACCUGGGAACACCGCGUGACGUUGGCU
rnacentral:rRNA from 1 species